rnacentral:tRNA from 1 species
UCCAUGGUGGUCCAGUGGCAUGGACCUGCACUUUCAGUGCAGGGGGCCCAGGUUCAAUCCCUAGUCAGGGAA